rnacentral:tRNA from 2 species
GGGCCAUUAGCUCAGUUGGUAGAGCACCCGCCUUUUAAGCGGGGUGUCGUUGGUUCGAGCCCAACAUGGCCCGCCA